UUAUAAAGUGCACCUUUCCACUUAAACUAUCUUUUAAGGUGCAAAAUGUGGUGUUGAACAAAAUAGAAAACCAGGGACUUCCAUUAUAUAUUGCCAAUAGAGACAGUGAACAUGUGGGCGUUCAUUAGGACAUUCAAUACCUUAAUAUUUUUAAGGAGUUAUAAAAGGUUCUCCUUAUUUGAUAGUUGGGAGGUUUGUUGACAUAAAGCAUAUGAAAACCGAAAUUCUGCGAAUCGUGUAAGAAACCGCAUAUCCUUGAAUUUAUAAUUGACAUUUAAGCUAAUGCUUUAUAUAUGUACUAAAAAAAUGAUAUGCUCUUUAGUAAAGGAAUCAUCUAAAUACAUAUUUUGCCAUUUAAAAUAUGUAUAUUAGAAACUAACAAUUACAUAUUCUUUCCGCUUUUAUUAUGCUGUUAUAAGAACUUCGUUUCAAUAUAUGUUCAUCACUAAUAAGAAAGUAUUAAAUUUUAAGUUCACAGCAAACACACGCAGGAACAUAGUUGUCGAAAUAAAAAGUAGCACCAAACUUUGAAGUUUCGUUCAUCGGUAUCUUAUUAAGCACUCCAUGCGUAAAUAUUUGAAGUCUAACUAAGAAUGUUAUCAAUGGAAAAAUAAAUGUAGUGGGUUUCAAAAGAUCUCAGUUGGCCUUCAUGAAACUUUGUGUGAUAGUAUUAACCAUA